rnacentral:rRNA from 1 species
UACGUAGGGCGCAAGCGUUGUCCGGAAUUAUUGGGCGUAAAGAGCUCGUAGGCGGUUUGUCGCGUCUGCUGUGAAAACCUGAGGCUCAACCUCGGGCUUGCAGUGGGUACGGGCAGACUAGAGUGCGGUAGGGGUGACUGGAAUUCCUGGUGUAGCGGUGGAAUGCGCAGAUAUCAGGAGGAACACCGAUGGCGAAGGCAGGUCACUGGGCCGCAACUGAC